rnacentral:rRNA from 1 species
CUGGCGGCAUGCCUUACACAUGCAAGUCGAACGGCAGCAUGGAAGAGCUUGCUCUUCUGAUGGCGAGUGGCGAACGGGUGAGUAAAGCAUCGGAACGUACCGUGUAGUGGGGGAUAACGUAGCGAAAGUUACGCUAAUACCGCAUACGCACUGAGGUGGAAAGCAGGGGAUCGCAAGACCUUGCGCUAUACGAGCGGCCGAUGUCAGAUUAGCUAGUUGGUAGGGUAAAGGCCUACCAAGGCGACGAUCUGUAGCGGGUCUGAGAGGAUGAUCCGCCACACUGGGACUGAGACACGGCCCAGACUCCUACGGGAGGCAGCAGUGGGGAAUUUUGGACAAUGGGCGAAAGCCUGAUCCAGCCAUGCCGCGUGAGUGAAGAAGGCCUUCGGGUUGUAAAGCUCUUUCGGCUGGGAAGAAAUCGCACAGGCUAAUACUCUUGUGUGGAUGACGGUACCAGCACAAGAAGCACCGGCUAACUACGUG